AACGCUGGCGGCAGGCCUAACACAUGCAAGUCGAACGGUAACAUUUCUAGCUUGCUAGAAGAUGACGAGUGGCGGACGGGUGAGUAAUACUUAGGAAUAUGCCUUUGUGUGGGGGAUAACUAUUGGAAACGAUAGCUAAUACCGCAUAACGUCUUCGGACCAAAGGGGGCUUCGGCUCCCGCGCAAAGAGUANCCUAAGCGAGAUUANCUUGUUGGUGAGGUANAGGCUCACCANGGCGACGAUCUCUANCUGUUCUGAGAGGAAGAUCAGCCACACUGGAACUGAGAC
rnacentral:rRNA from 1 species